rnacentral:lncRNA from 1 species
GCUUACGUCAUGUUUUACCAUGCACAUGUUUAAAUUUGUGGUCAAAUGUGUCACUCUUAUUUAAUGCAUUUGAAUUUCAGUCCUAGUUACCAAACCUUUUCUUAUAUUCCAGUUACAGAGGGAUUUAACCGUCUUUCCUUCUAGUUUUUUGGUCGUUUCAUUUCUUUGAUCAAUUUGGAAUUUUCUCUUAUAUGGUUAAGGAAUGGUUGGUUGGAGCUGAUUUUAUAAAUGUCUAAAUAACUGUUCACUUGUCCCAAUACAAUUUAUGAAAGAGCCCAUCUUUGCUUCUCCUUAUUCUGAAAUGAUUUGAGUUACCACGUUGGUCAUAUACUGCUUUCAAUAUAUAGUCGUGUCUAUUUCUGAACUUGUCUGCUGGUACAUUGGUCUACACAUGUAAUCGUACCACACUCUUUUAUUCGUGCAGACUUUCCAGUACAUUUUAAUAUCCCCUCAUAUCUUUUCCUUUGCUGUGGUUUCCCGUCUCUACUUGUGUGUUAUUUUUUGAUAGAAACUUUAGUAUCAGCUUGUCUAGUUUCAGAGAAAAAAACCAAACUUGUUUGUAUUUGGAUUGCAUUACAUUGACAAAUUGACUGAGGAAAAACUGACAUCUUCAUGAUGAGAUGUCCUAAUCAUGAACAAAGAAUGUCUGCAUUUGGUCAGGUCUACAUUUGUGUCUUUCAAGAGUGUCAGGGUUUUUAAAUGCAGAUUUUAAACAUUCAUUGAGUUUAUUCCUAAGUGUUUUUAAUCUUUUUGGUUGCUGUUGUGAUGAAAUUUUCCAUUAAAUCUUCUAAUUGGUUAUUAGCUGUAUAAAAAAGCCAUUGAUUUUUGCAUGUUAAUUUUAUUUCAGAAUGAUUUAAAUAAUAGUGAACAUGGUGGGCAUUGUUUCUUUGUUUUUCACCUUAUAUUGAACGGCUCUGAUAUUUCCCCAUUAAUUGACUUUAGGAUUGAGAUCUAGAGAGAUAAAAUUUAUAAUGCGAAGUAUUCAUUUAUUUCUGUUAACAAAUGGAUUUCCUAAUAUUGGAAUAUCCUUGCAUUCCUGGAAUAAAUAUCACUUUACUGUGUUUAUUUUUUCCUUAAUAUGUUUUUGGAGUAUACAGAAAUCCUAAAUAAAACAUGAACAUCAGCUUUCAUAAGUGCCGUUAGUCUGCAUUUUUAUUCUGCCCUAAUAAGGUUUAGAUAGCAGUAUAAUAUUUGCUUCAUAAGAACCUUGAAAGUUUUAUUUUCUAUUCCCUGAAACAGUUUAUGUAGCUUUGGUCCCCUGACUUCCAGAGUUUUGGUAGAAUUCCCCCGUGAAACCCUCUGGACCUGGUGCUCUUUUGCAGAGGUUUUUCUUUGGUAAGGUUUUCUGUUUAUCUCUGCUCUGGUCAGUUUUGGUAAGCUGUAUUUUUUUUUUUCCAGAAAUUGCCCAUUCCAUCUAGGUUUUCAGAUUUAUUUACAUAGAUGUCUUCAAUCUAUUUUUUGAAAUUUCCUCCACAUAGUUUUUCUUCUUUGUUUUAUUUUAGUAUAUUUUUUGAUUCUUUCUGCUUUGUCAGCAUGUAUAAAAUGUACAUUCUGCUCAUUUAACCAUGUUCCCACCUUUGUCUUAGUCCUGUAUUUAAAUGUAUUAAAUGCUCACCCUUAGUUUUUUUGCUGGAGAUUUCCCAGGGAUCCCUUGGUCAGAUGAAAUUCAUCCAGUAAAUUCUUUGAAUUUACUUGCGUUUAUUGUAUUACUCAGUUCUUGCAUAUUCACACUGUUUGUGUGUUUGUCUUUUGUAGACUUAAUAUUUCAAGGAAUGCUUGGCUCCCAUAUUCUUUAAUUUCUUGAAAAUUCUUCUCUGCUCCAUGGUUGUCUUUGUGUGUGUGUGUGUGUGUAUGCUUUUCAAGUCUAAUUUUAUUGCUUUUUAAAGUAAUUUGACUUUUGUACUCUUAAGAGUUUUUCCCCUGUCUUUAAACUCUAGUGUUUCUACGAAGGUGGGUCUUAAAGUAGAUUGUUCUAGGUCAGCUUCUCCAGGUAAACAGUGGACCCUUUCAAGAUGCUGGUUUAGAUUUUCUUUUAUUUCUGGAAAGAGGUCUUGAACAAUGGUUUUAAGUAUUCUGCUCCAUGGUUUUUGUUGCCUUAAAGGACUCCAGUUAUACAGUGUUGGAUCUCUUGUGUGUCUUACACUUCAUGCACUCUCUUCUGAUGCUUUAUUCGCUCUUUAUUUCAUUUUCAUUCUCUUUUUUCCCUACCUUUCUUCAAUGUCUUGGGUUUUGUUUUUUUUUUUUUCUUUCACACAAAUCCAUUCUUUCUUGAGCAUUUUGUAAUUUAUUCUUAAUUUUAGAAAUGGUUUUAUCCAUUUUAUUUUUUGAGAUCAGUUCUUGUUGCAUUUCUUCCUGGAAUUUUGUUCAUUUCUGUUUUUAGAUUUUGAAUUUUGGGGUCUAGGUGAUUCUGGCUUUUGUUUUUAAUGUCUUCAGAUACUUAUUUGAAGAUAUUUAAUUUAAUUUGAAAUACUGCUUUACAAUUUUCUAAAAUUGCAUGGUAUUUGGUGUGUUUUGUCAUUAUUUCUUCAUGGGGAGAGUGUUCAUUAGCUGAUGUGAUUUGCAUUUUUUGUUUUCUUGUUUCAGUAGCUCUUUGUGGAAUUGGCUUGAUUUUUUUUUCCCCCUCCUGUUUCUAGGCAUUUUGUGGGCAAGGUUUUUAGUUUGUAAAUGCCUUCUCUCAAAAUAGUGAAGGACAUUUUGGGAGUUCCCGUCAUGGCGCAGUGGUUAACGAAUGCAACUAGGCGACUAGGAACCAUGAGGUUGCGGGUUCGGUCCCUGCCCUUGCUCAGUGGGUCGGGGACCUGGCGUUGCCGUGAGCCGGGGUGUAGGUUGCAGACGCGGCUUGGAUCCACCGUUGCUGUGGCUCUGGCGUAGGCCGGUUGCUAUAGCUCCGAUUCGACCCCUAGCCUGGGAACCUCCAUAUGCCGCGGGAACAGCCCAAGAAAUACCAAAAAG